rnacentral:rRNA from 1 species
GACGGAGGGAGCAAGCGUUGUUCGGAUUUACUGGGCGUAAAGGGCGUCUAGGCGGAUUGGUAAGUCAGGUGUGAGAUCCCCCGGCUCAACCGGGGACCUGCACUUGAUACUGCCAGUCUUGAGUUCGGAAGAGGAAAGCGGAAUUCCUGGUGUAGCGGUGAAAUGCGUAGAUAUCAGGAAGAACACCGGUGGCGAAGGCGGCUUUCUGGUCCGUUACUGACGCUGAAGCGCGAAAGUGUGGGGAGCAAACAGG